GCCUGAGUGGCUCAGUCGGUUGAGUGUCCGACUUCCGCUCUGGUCAUGAUUUCACGGUCUGUGAGUUCGAACCCUGCCUUGGGCU
rnacentral:tRNA from 1 species